UGCUCACUUGCCCCCUUCUUUCUUUGACCAGGCUGUGGAUCUGGAUCGGACCCGCCGCCACCACCGCGUAAGCCCUCGCCUCAUGUGUAUUUUCUUCACUCUCCUCUGCCCAUCUUCUCUAUGUCUUCUCGUCGAGUGAUUAAUGGCGUUCGAUGUGUCAAUGCUGGUGGAUCGGGGUCUCUCAUGGUCGGAUCAGGGUUUGAGUGUCGUCCUUGAGCUGCCAUUGUCAUUGCCAUCUUCGCCUCGCCUCAGACUCAGCUCGGUUGUCUCCUUCUACCUCUCUUCCUCCUCCCAUGCUCCGGCGAGCUCAAGGCCAAUGGUGACGGAAAGGAUGAAAUGGACACUGCCUCCCUUGUCAUUCCACCCUUCCGAUCUAGUGUAGAAACAAACGAUGGUGGCGUUCUUUGGUUGUAUUUAGUUUCUACUUUUCAGAUGGAUUGGCUCCCUCUCUCUGCAGUAUAUGGAGGCCAGAGGUGGAGGAGUUUGGAUAAUAUGCAGUCAAUGGGGACCAUCUAGCAAGUGGAGGUGCAAGGAUGGUUGCUUGGGAGAAGAAGUAGAGGACGUUGCCAGGGUGCGUCUCUCAGACCUGAAACCCACCUUGGCAAGGAUGUGAACAUCGUUCAUCCUAAACAUCAGCAAGCACUUCUUUUACGACUAAGACUGGGAGGGCCAGACGUGGCCAGCACAAGCUUAUUGGCUUGAGUGGCUGGGUUGCUAUGUCAUCGACGACGUCUGUGUCAAGAUGAGCGACUAGGUGUGUUAUGAAAUUGUGUCAAGCAGAUGGUUACAUUAUUUAAAAAAAUAACUUUCAUCCGGAGUUAGUUUAUUAUUUAUUCUGAAUGUUUGAUUCUUCUUCUAAGCUAGAUACUGAUACGUCUCCAACGUAUCUAUAAUUUAUGAAGUAUUCAUGUCAUGUUUACAACAAUUUUAUAUGAUUUUGAUAUGAUUUGAUUAGAACUAACCCGGACUGACGCUGCUUUCAGCAGAACUACCGUGGUGUCGUUCUUUGUGCAGAAAUAAAAGUUCUCGGAAUGGGCUGAAAAUUCAUGAUGUUUUUAUGGACCAGAAAAAGCCCCUGAAGCACAAGGGUUGGGCCAGAAGAGUCUCGAGUCAACGACAAGGGUGGAGGAUGCGCCCACCCCCCUAGGGCGCGCCCUCCUGCCUUGUCGCUGACUCGUGGACCCCCCGAUGUGAAACCAAGGACAAAAAUUCCUAUAAAUCCAGAAACCCCAAGAAAGAAACCUAGAUCGGGAGUUCCGCCGCCGCAAGCCUGUGUAUCCACGAAAACCCAAUCGGGACCCUGU